rnacentral:rRNA from 1 species
CAUAUACGACCGUACCGCAAACCGACACUGGUGCGCGAGAUGAGUAUUCUAAGGCGCUUGAGUGAACUCAGGAGAAGGAACUCGGCAAAUUGACACCGUAACUUCGGAAGAAGGUGUGCCCUAUUAGUGUGUAGUGAACAACGAAGCAUGAAUGGGUUGCAAAAAAUCGGUGGCUGCGACUGUUUAUUAAAAACACAGCACUCUGCAAACACGAAAGUGGACGUAUAGGGUGUGACGCCUGCCCGGUGCUGGAAGAUUAAAUGAUGGGGUGCAAGCUCUUGAUUGAAGUCCCAGUAAACGGCGGCCGUAACUAUAACGGUCCUAAGGUAGCGAAAUUCCUUGUCGGGUAAGUUCCGACCUGCACGAAUGGCGUAACGAUGGCCACACUGUCUCCUCCUGAGACUCAGCGAAGUUGAAAUGUUUGUGAUGAUGCAAUCUCCCCGCGGAAAGACGGAAAGACCCCAUGAACCUUUACUGUAGCUUUGUAUUGGACUUUGAACAGAUCUGUGUAGGAUAGGUGGGAGGCUUUGAAGCAGGGUCGCUAGAUCUUGUGGAGCCAACGUUGAAAUACCACCCUGGUGUGUUUGAGGUUCUAACCUAGGUCCAUUAUCUGGAUCGGGGACAGUGCAUGGUAGGCAGUUUGACUGGGGCGGUCUCCUCCCAAAGCGUAACGGAGGAGUUCGAAGGUACGCUAGUUACGGUCGGACAUCGUGACGAUAGUGCAAUGGCAUAAGCGUGCUUAACUGCGAGACUGACAAGUCGAGCAGAUGCGAAAGCAGGACAUAGUGAUCCGGUGGUUCUGUAUGGAAGGGCCAUCGCUCAACGGAUAAAAGGUACUCUGGGGAUAACAGGCUGAUACCGCCCAAGAGUUCAUAUCGACGGCGGUGUUUGGCACCUCGAUGUCGGCUCAUCUCAUCCUGGGGCUGUAGCCGGUCCCAAGGGUAUGGCUGUUCGCCAUUUAAAGAGGUACGUGAGCUGGGUUUAAAACGUCGUGAGACAGUUUGGUCCCUAUCUUCCGUGGGCGCUGCAGAUUUGAGGAAGCCUGCUCCUAGUACGAGAGGACCGGAGUGGACACACCUCUGGUGUAUCGGUUGUCACGCCAGUGGCAUUGCCGAGUAGCUAAGUGUGGAAGAGAUAACCGCUGAAAGCAUCUAAGCGGGAAACUCGUUUCAAGAUGAGAUCUGCCGGGGCCUUGAGCCCCCUAAAGAGUCGUUCAAGACCAGGACGUUGAUAGGUCAGGUGUGGAAGC